rnacentral:rRNA from 1 species
GGGGGGGGCUUACCUGCAGUCGAACGCUGAAGCACCAGCUUGCUGGUGUGGAUGAGUGGCGAACGGGUGAGUAAUACGUGAGUAACCUGCCCUUGACUCUGGGAUAAGCCCGGGAAACUGGGUCUAAUACUGGAUGCUACAUGUCACCGCAUGGUGGUGUGUGGAAAGGGUUUACUGGUCUUGGAUGGGCUCACGGCCUAUCAGCUUGUUGGUGAGGUAAUGGCUCACCAAGGCGACGACGGGUAGCCGGCCUGAGAGGGUGACCGGCCACACUGGGACUGAGACACGGCCCAGACUCCUACGGGAGGCAGCAGUGGGGAAUAUUGCACAAUGGGCGAAAGCCUGAUGCAGCGACGCCGCGUGAGGGAUGACGGCCUUCGGGUUGUAAACCUCUUUCAGCAGGGAAGAAGCCACAAGUGACGGUACCUGCAGAAGAAGCGCCGGCUAACUACGUGCCAGCAGCCGCGGUAAUACGUAGGGCGCAAGCGUUGUCCGGAAUUAUUGGGCGUAAAGAGCUCGUAGGCGGUUUGUCGCGUCUGCUGUGAAAGCCCGGGGCUUAACCCCGGGUGUGCAGUGGGUACGGGCAGACUAGAGUGCAGUAGGGGAGACUGGAAUUCCUGGUGUAGCGGUGGAAUGCGCAGAUAUCAGGAGGAACACCGAUGGCGAAGGCAGGUCUCUGGGCUGUUACUGACGCUGAGGAGCGAAAGCAUGGGGAGCGAACAGGAUUAGAUACCCUGGUAGUCCAUGCCGUAAACGUUGGGCACUAGGUGUGGGGGACAUUCCACGUUUUCCGCGCCGUAGCUAACGCAUUAAGUGCCCCGCCUGGGGAGUACGGCCGCAAGGCUAAAACUCAAAGGAAUUGACGGGGGCCCGCACAAGCGGCGGAGCAUGCGGAUUAAUUCGAUGCACGCGAAGAACCUUACCAGGCUUGACUAUACCGGAUCGUUCCGAGAUGUUCUUCCCUUUGGGGUCGUAUACAGGG